rnacentral:rRNA from 1 species
UACGAAGGGGGCUAGCGUUGUUCGGAAUUACUGGGCGUAAAGCGCACGUAGGCGGAUAUUUAAGUCGGGGGUGAAAUCCCGGGGCUCAACCCCCGGAACUGCCUUCGAUACUGGGUAUCUUGAGUUCGGAAGAGGUGAGUGGAAUUGCGAGUGUAGAGGUGAAAUUCGUAGAUAUUCGCAGGAACACCAGUGGCGAAGGCGGCUCACUGGUCCGAUACUGACGCUGAGGUGCG